rnacentral:lncRNA from 1 species
GAGAAAAGUUGCUGGAGACCGUGAUUUGCUUCUUGAAGGCCAGCUAUAUGGUGCCGGAAUCGCUGACUAGAUCGACUUUGAAGACAGUUCUGCUGCGUGCCGCGAAUCACUGCAGAAGCAACGGCACCUGACGCGGGAGCUUCCCCAGCGCCACCAUGGGGCGUGAAAA